CAGUUAGAAAUGACUGCUAAUACCGUAUAUGGCUUUGGCUGAAAGAUUUAUCGCCAAAGGAUGGGCCCGCGCUAGAUUAGUUUGUUGGUGGGGUAACGGCCUACCAAGACUACGAUCUAUAGCUGGUCUGAGAGGAUGAUCAGCCACACUGGGACUGAGACACGGCCCAGACUCCUACGGGAGGCAGCAGUGGGGAAUAUUGGACAAUGGAGGAAACUCUGAUCCAGCAAUGCCGCGUGAGUGAAGAAGGCCUUAGGGUUGUAAAGCUCUUUCAGAUGUGACGAUGAUGACGGUAACAUCAGAAGAAG
rnacentral:rRNA from 1 species